rnacentral:sRNA from 1 species
UGUAGUGAUGUCUCAGGCAGAAUAAAAUAUUUAAUGUAAAUUGUAGCAGCAAACAUUUAAGUUAUACUUAAAUGUUUAAAUCACUGUUAGUGAGUAGCUUAUUUUGCCUUCCUUGAAGCAAUUUGUCCUAAAUUUCCAUACGUUUGCAUUUGUUUUUGCUGUUCUAAAAUUCCUUAGUUGCUGGCUUUGACCUUUUAUGUUGCUGAGUUUUACACAUCUAUUUUCUCAACUGCCAUAUCCUAGGGGGCUUGGAGUACCCAUAAUACAGUGAGCCCACCUUCCUGGUCCCCAGACAUUUCAGAAGGUCGGGAAAUUUUUAAACCCAGGCAGCUUCCUGGCAGUGCCAUUUGGAGCAUCAAAGUGGGCCGUGGGUCUGGAUUUCCAGGAAAGCGGAGACCUCGAGGUGCAGGACUGUCGGGGCGAGGUGGCCGAGGCAGGUCAAAGCUGAAAAGUGGAAUCGGAGCUGUUGUAUUGCCUGGGGUGUCUACUGCAGAUAUUUCAUCAAAUAAGGAUGAUGAAGAAAACUCUAUGCACAAUACAGUUGUGUUGUUUUCUAGCAGUGACAAGUUCACUUUGAAUCAGGAUAUGUGUGUAGUUUGUGGCAGUUUUGGCCAAGGAGCAGAAGGAAGAUUACUUGCCUGUUCUCAGUGUGGUCAGUGUUACCAUCCAUACUGUGUCAGUAUUAAGAUCACUAAAGUGGUUCUUAGCAAAGGUUGGAGGUGUCUUGAGUGCACUGUGUGUGAGGCCUGUGGGAAGGCAACUGACCCAGGAAGACUCCUGCUGUGUGAUGAUUGUGACAUAAGUUAUCACACCUACUGCCUAGACCCUCCAUUGCAGACAGUUCCCAAAGGAGGCUGGAAGUGCAAAUGGUGUGUUUGGUGCAGACACUGUGGAGCAACAUCUGCAGGUCUAAGAUGUGAAUGGCAGAACAAUUACACACAGUGCGCUCCUUGUGCAAGCUUAUCUUCCUGUCCAGUCUGCUAUCGAAACUAUAGAGAAGAAGAUCUUAUUCUGCAAUGUAGACAAUGUGAUAGAUGGAUGCAUGCAGUUUGUCAGAACUUAAAUACUGAGGAAGAAGUGGAAAAUGUAGCAGACAUUGGUUUUGAUUGUAGCAUGUGCAGACCCUAUAUGCCUGCGUCUAAUGUGCCUUCCUCAGACUGCUGUGAAUCUUCACUUGUAGCACAAAUUGUCACAAAAGUAAAAGAGCUAGACCCACCCAAGACUUAUACCCAGGAUGGUGUGUGUUUGACUGAAUCAGGGAUGACUCAGUUACAGAGCCUCACAGUUACAGUUCCAAGAAGAAAACGGUCAAAACCAAAAUUGAAAUUGAAGAUUAUAAAUCAGAAUAGCGUGGCCGUCCUUCAGACCCCUCCAGACAUCCAAUCAGAGCAUUCAAGGGAUGGUGAAAUGGAUGAUAGUCGAGAAGGAGAACUUAUGGAUUGUGAUGGAAAAUCAGAAUCUAGUCCUGAGCGGGAAGCUGUGGAUGAUGAAACUAAGGGAGUGGAAGGAACAGAUGGUGUCAAAAAGAGAAAAAGGAAACCAUACAGACCAGGUAUUGGUGGAUUUAUGGUGCGGCAAAGAAGUCGAACUGGGCAAGGGAAAACUAAAAGAUCUGUGAUCAGAAAAGAGUCCUCAGGCUCCAUUUCCGAGCAGUUACCUUGCAGAGAUGAUGGCUGGAGUGAGCAGUUACCAGAUACUUUAGUUGAUGAAUCUGUUUCUGUUACUGAAAGCACUGAAAAAAUAAAGAAGAGAUACCGAAAAAGGAAAAAUAAGCUUGAAGAAACUUUCCCUGCCUAUUUACAAGAAGCUUUCUUUGGAAAAGAUCUUCUAGAUACAAGUAGACAAAGCAAGAUAAGUUUAGAUAAUCUGUCAGAAGAUGGAGCUCAGCUUUUAUAUAAAACAAACAUGAACACAGGUUUCUUGGAUCCUUCCUUAGAUCCACUACUUAGUUCAUCCUCGGCUCCAACAAAAUCUGGAACUCACGGUCCUGCUGAUGACCCAUUAGCUGAUAUUUCUGAAGUUUUAAACACAGAUGAUGACAUUCUUGGAAUAAUUUCAGAUGAUCUAGCAAAAUCAGUUGAUCAUUCAGAUAUUGGUCCUGUCACUGAUGAUCCUUCCUCUUUGCCUCAGCCAAAUGUCAAUCAGAGUUCACGACCAUUAAGUGAAGAACAGCUAGAUGGGAUCCUCAGUCCUGAACUAGACAAAAUGGUCACAGAUGGAGCAAUUCUUGGAAAAUUAUAUAAAAUUCCAGAGCUCGGCGGAAAAGAUGUUGAAGACUUAUUUACAGCUGUACUUAGUCCUGCGAACACUCAGCCAACUCCAUUGCCACAGCCUCCCCCACCAACACAGCUGUUGCCAAUACACAAUCAGGAUGUUUUUUCACGGAUGCCUCUCAUGAAUGGCCUUAUUGGACCCAGUCCUCAUCUCCCACAUAAUUCUUUGCCACCUGGAAGCGGACUGGGAACUUUCUCUGCAAUUGCACAAUCCUCUUAUCCUGAUGCCAGGGAUAAAAAUUCAGCCUUUAAUCCAAUGGCAAGUGAUCCUAACAACUCUUGGACAUCAUCAGCUCCCACUGUGGAAGGAGAAAAUGACACCAUGUCGAAUGCCCAGAGAAGCACGCUUAAGUGGGAGAAAGAGGAGGCUCUGGGUGAAAUGGCAACAGUUGCCCCAGUUCUCUACACCAAUAUUAAUUUCCCCAACUUAAAGGAAGAAUUCCCUGAUUGGACUACUAGAGUGAAGCAAAUUGCCAAAUUGUGGAGAAAAGCAAGCUCACAAGAAAGAGCACCAUAUGUGCAAAAAGCCAGAGAUAACAGAGCUGCUUUACGCAUUAAUAAAGUACAGAUGUCAAAUGAUUCCAUGAAAAGGCAGCAACAGCAAGAUAGCAUUGAUCCCAGCUCUCGUAUUGAUUCGGAGCUUUUUAAAGAUCCUUUAAAGCAAAGAGAAUCAGAACAUGAACAGGAAUGGAAAUUUAGACAGCAAAUGCGUCAGAAAAGUAAGCAGCAAGCUAAAAUUGAAGCCACACAGAAACUUGAACAGGUGAAAAAUGAGCAGCAGCAGCAGCAACAACAACAGCAAUUUGGUUCUCAGCAUCUUCUGGUGCAGUCUGGUUCAGAUACACCAAGUAGUGGGAUACAGAGUCCCUUGACACCUCAGCCUGGCAAUGGAAAUAUGUCUCCUGCACAGUCAUUCCAUAAAGAACUGUUUACAAAACAGCCAACCAGUACCCCUACGUCUACAUCUUCAGAUGAUGUGUUUGUAAAGCCACAAGCUCCACCUCCUCCUCCAGCCCCAUCCCGGAUUCCCAUCCAGGAUAGUCUUUCUCAGGCUCAGACUUCUCAGCCACCCUCACCACAAGUGUUUUCACCUGGGUCCUCUAACUCACGACCACCAUCUCCAAUGGAUCCAUAUGCAAAAAUGGUUGGUACCCCUCGACCACCUCCUGUGGGCCAUAGUUUUUCCAGAAGAAAUUCUGCUGCACCAGUGGAAAACUGUACACCUUUAUCAUCGGUAUCUAGGCCCCUUCAAAUGAAUGAGACAACAGCAAAUAGGCCAUCCCCUGUCAGAGAUUUAUGUUCUUCUUCCACGACAAAUAAUGACCCCUAUGCAAAACCUCCAGACACACCUAGGCCUGUGAUGACAGAUCAAUUUCCCAAAUCCUUGGGCCUAUCCCGGUCUCCUGUAGUUUCAGAACAAACUGCAAAAGGCCCUGUAGCAGCUGGAACCAGUGAUCACUUUACUAAACCAUCUCCUAGGGCAGAUGUGUUUCAAAGACAAAGGAUACCUGACUCAUAUGCACGACCCUUGUUGACACCUGCACCUCUUGAUAGUGGUCCUGGACCUUUUAAGACUCCAAUGCAACCUCCUCCAUCCUCUCAGGAUCCUUAUGGAUCAGUGUCACAGGCAUCAAGGCGAUUAUCUGUUGACCCUUAUGAAAGGCCUGCUUUGACACCAAGACCUAUAGAUAAUUUUUCUCAUAAUCAGUCAAAUGAUCCAUAUAGUCAGCCUCCCCUUACCCCACAUCCAGCAAUGAAUGAAUCUUUUGCCCAUCCUUCAAGGGCUUUUUCCCAGCCUGGAACCAUAUCAAGGCCAACAUCUCAGGACCCAUACUCCCAACCCCCAGGAACUCCACGACCUGUUGUAGAUUCUUAUUCCCAAUCUUCAGGAACAGCUAGGUCCAAUACAGACCCUUACUCUCAACCUCCUGGAACUCCCCGGCCUACUACUGUUGACCCAUAUAGUCAGCAGCCCCAAACCCCAAGACCAUCUACACAAACUGACUUGUUUGUUACACCUGUAACAAAUCAGAGGCAUUCUGAUCCAUAUGCUCAUCCUCCUGGAACACCAAGACCUGGAAUUUCUGUCCCUUACUCUCAGCCACCAGCAACACCAAGGCCAAGGAUUUCAGAGGGUUUUACUAGGUCCUCAAUGACAAGACCAGUCCUCAUGCCAAAUCAGGAUCCUUUCCUGCAAGCAGCACAAAACCGAGGACCAGCUUUACCUGGCCCGUUGGUAAGGCCACCUGAUACAUGUUCCCAGACACCUAGGCCCCCUGGACCUGGUCUUUCAGACACAUUUAGCCGUGUUUCCCCAUCUGCUGCCCGUGAUCCCUAUGAUCAGUCUCCAAUGACUCCAAGAUCUCAGUCUGACUCUUUUGGAACAAGUCAAACUGCCCAUGAUGUUGCUGAUCAGCCAAGGCCUGGAUCAGAGGGGAGCUUCUGUGCAUCUUCAAACUCUCCAAUGCACUCCCAAGGCCAGCAGUUCUCUGGUGUCUCCCAACUUCCUGGACCUGUGCCAACUUCAGGAGUAACUGAUACACAGAAUACUGUAAAUAUGGCCCAAGCAGAUACAGAGAAAUUGAGACAGCGGCAGAAGUUACGUGAAAUCAUUCUCCAGCAGCAACAGCAGAAGAAGAUUGCAGGUCGACAGGAGAAGGGGUCACAGGACUCACCCGCAGUGCCUCAUCCAGGGCCUCUUCAACACUGGCAACCAGAGAAUGUUAACCAGGCUUUCACCAGACCCCCACCUCCCUAUCCUGGGAACAUUAGGUCUCCUGUUGCCCCUCCUUUAGGACCUAGAUAUGCUGUUUUCCCAAAAGAUCAGCGUGGACCCUAUCCUCCUGAUGUUGCUAGUAUGGGGAUGAGACCUCAUGGAUUUAGAUUUGGAUUUCCAGGAGGUAGUCAUGGUACCAUGCCGAGUCAAGAGCGCUUCCUUGUGCCUCCUCAACAAAUACAGGGAUCUGGAGUUUCUCCACAGCUAAGAAGAUCAGUAGCUGUAGAUAUGCCUAGGCCUUUAAAUAACUCACAAAUGAAUAAUCCAGUUGGACUUCCUCAGCAUUUUUCACCACAGAGCUUGCCAGUUCAGCAGCACAACAUACUGGGCCAAGCAUAUAUUGAACUGAGACAUAGGGCUCCUGACGGAAGGCAACGGCUGCCUUUCAGUGCUCCACCUGGCAGCGUUGUAGAGGCAUCUUCAAAUCUGAGACAUGGAAACUUCAUUCCCCGGCCAGACUUUCCGGGCCCUAGACAUACAGACCCCAUGCGACGACCUCCCCAGGGUCUACCUAAUCAGCUACCUGUGCACCCAGAUUUGGAACAAGUGCCACCAUCUCAACAAGAGCAAGGUCAUUCUGUCCAUUCAUCUUCUAUGGUCAUGAGGACUCUGAACCAUCCACUAGGUGGUGAAUUUUCAGAAGCUCCUUUGUCAACAUCUGUACCAUCUGAAACAACGUCUGAUAAUUUACAGAUAACCACCCAACCUUCUGAUGGUCUAGAGGAAAAACUUGAUUCUGAUGUCCCUUCUGUGAAGGAACUGGAUGUUAAAGACCUUGAGGGGGUUGAAGUCAAAGACUUAGAUGAUGAAGAUCUUGAAAACUUAAAUUUAGAUACAGAGGAUGGCAAGGUAGUUGAAUUGGAUACUUUAGAUAAUUUGGAAACUAAUGAUCCCAACCUGGAUGACCUCUUAAGGUCAGGAGAGUUUGAUAUCAUUGCAUAUACAGAUCCAGAACUUGACAUGGGAGAUAAGAAAAGCAUGUUUAAUGAGGAACUAGACCUUCCAAUUGAUGAUAAGUUAGAUAAUCAGUGUGUAUCUGUUGAACCAAAAAAAAAGGAACAAGAAAACAAAACUCUGGUUCUCUCUGAUAAACAUUCACCACAGAAAAAAUCCACUGUUACCAAUGAGGUAAAAACGGAAGUACUGUCUCCAAAUUCUAAGGUGGAAUCCAAAUGUGAAACUGAAAAAAAUGAUGAGAAUAAAGAUAAUGUUGACACUCCUUGCUCACAGGCUUCUGCUCACUCAGACCUAAAUGAUGGAGAAAAGACUUCUUUGCAUCCUUGUGAUCCAGAUCUAUUUGAGAAAAGAACCAAUCGAGAAACUGCUGGCCCCGGUGCAAAUGUCAUUCAAGCAUCCACUCAACUACCUGCUCAAGAUGUAAUAAACUCUUGUGGCAUAACUGGAUCAACUCCAGUUCUCUCAAGUUUACUUGCCAAUGAGAAAUCUGAUAAUUCAGACAUUAGGCCAUUGGGGUCUCCACCACCACCAACUCUGCCGGCCUCACCAUCCAAUCAUGUGUCAAGUUUGCCUCCUUUAAUAGCACCGCCUGGCCGUGUUUUGGAUAAUACCAUGAAUUCUAAUGUAACAGUAGUCUCUAGGGUAAACCAUGUUUUUUCUCAGGGUGUGCAGGUAAAUCCAGGGUUCAUUCCAGGUCAAUCAACAGUUAACCACAAUCUGGGGACAGGAAAACCUGCAACUCAAACUGGGCCUCUAACAAGUCAGUCUGGUACCAGUGGCAUGUCUGGACCCCAACAGCUAAUGAUUCCUCAAACAUUAGCACAGCAGAAUAGAGAGAGGCCCCUUCUUCUAGAAGAACAGCCUCUACUUCUACAGGAUCUUUUGGAUCAAGAAAGGCAGGAACAGCAGCAGCAAAGACAGAUGCAAGCCAUGAUUCGUCAGCGAUCAGAACCGUUCUUCCCUAAUAUUGAUUUUGAUGCAAUUACAGAUCCUAUAAUGAAAGCCAAAAUGGUGGCCCUUAAAGGCAUAAAUAAAGUGAUGGCACAAAACAAUCUGGGCAUGCCACCAAUGGUGAUGAGCAGGUUCCCUUUUAUGGGCCAGGCGGUAACUGGAACACAGAACAGUGAAGGACAGAACCUUGGACCACAGGCCAUUCCUCAGGAUGGCAGUAUAACACAUCAGAUUUCUAGGCCUAAUCCUCCAAAUUUUGGUCCAGGCUUUGUCAAUGAUUCACAGCGUAAGCAGUAUGAAGAGUGGCUCCAGGAGACCCAACAGCUGCUUCAAAUGCAGCAGAAGUAUCUUGAAGAACAAAUUGGUGCUCACAGAAAAUCUAAGAAGGCCCUUUCAGCUAAACAACGUACUGCCAAGAAAGCUGGGCGUGAAUUUCCAGAGGAAGAUGCAGAACAACUCAAGCAUGUUACUGAACAGCAAAGCAUGGUUCAGAAACAGCUAGAACAGAUUCGUAAACAACAGAAAGAACAUGCUGAAUUGAUUGAAGAUUAUCGGAUCAAACAGCAGCAGCAAUGUGCAAUGGCCCCACCUACCAUGAUGCCCAGUGUCCAGCCCCAGCCACCCCUAAUUCCAGGUGCCACUCCACCCACCAUGAGCCAACCCGCCUUUCCCAUGGUGCCACAGCAGCUUCAGCACCAGCAGCACACAACAGUUAUUUCUGGCCAUACUAGCCCUGUUAGAAUGCCCAGUUUACCUGGAUGGCAACCCAACAGUGCUCCUGCCCACCUGCCCCUCAAUCCUCCUAGAAUUCAGCCCCCAAUUGCCCAAUUACCAAUAAAAACUUGUACACCAGCCCCAGGGACAGUCUCAAAUGCAAAUCCACAGAGUGGACCACCACCUCGGGUAGAAUUUGAUGACAACAAUCCCUUUAGUGAAAGUUUUCAAGAACGGGAACGCAAGGAACGUUUACGAGAACAGCAAGAGAGACAACGGAUCCAACUCAUGCAGGAGGUAGAUAGACAAAGAGCUUUGCAGCAGAGGAUGGAAAUGGAGCAGCAUGGUAUGGUGGGCUCUGAGAUAAGUAGUAGUAGGACAUCUGUGUCCCAGAUUCCCUUCUACAGUUCCGACUUACCUUGUGAUUUUAUGCAACCUCUAGGACCCCUUCAGCAGUCUCCACAACACCAACAGCAAAUGGGGCAGGUUUUACAGCAGCAGAAUAUACAACAAGGAUCAAUUAAUUCACCCUCCACCCAAACUUUCAUGCAGACUAAUGAGCGAAGGCAGGUAGGCCCUCCUUCAUUUGUUCCUGAUUCACCAUCAAUCCCUGUUGGAAGCCCAAAUUUUUCUUCUGUGAAGCAGGGACAUGGAAAUCUUUCUGGGACCAGCUUCCAGCAGUCCCCAGUGAGGCCUUCUUUUACACCUGCUUUACCAGCAGCACCUCCAGUAGCUAAUAGCAGUCUCCCAUGUGGCCAAGAUUCUACUAUGACCCAUGGACACAGUUAUCCGGGAUCAACCCAAUCGCUCAUUCAGUUGUAUUCUGAUAUAAUCCCAGAGGAAAAAGGGAAAAAGAAAAGAACAAGAAAGAAGAAAAGAGAUGAUGAUGCAGAAUCCACCAAGGCUCCAUCAACUCCCCAUUCAGAUAUAACUGCCCCGCCGACUCCAGGCAUCUCAGAAACUACCUCUACUCCUGCAGUGAGCACACCCAGUGAGCUUCCUCAACAAGCCGACCCAGAGUCGGUGGAACCAGUCGGCCCAUCCACUCCCAAUAUGGCAGCAGGCCAGCUAUGUACAGAAUUAGAGAACAAACUGCCCAAUAGUGAUUUCUCACAAGCAACUCCAAAUCAACAGACGUAUGCAAAUUCAGAAGUAGAUAAGCUCUCCAUGGAAACCCCUGCCAAAACAGAAGAAAUAAAACUGGAAAAGGCUGAGACAGAGUCCUGCCCAGGCCAAGAGGAGCCUAAAUUGGAGGAACAGAAUGGUAGUAAGGUAGAAGGAAACGCUGUAGCCUGUCCUGUCUCCUCAGCACAGAGUCCUCCCCAUUCUGCUGGGGCCCCUGCUGCCAAAGGAGACUCAGGGAAUGAACUUCUGAAACACUUGUUGAAAAAUAAAAAGUCAUCUUCUUUUUUGAAUCAAAAACCUGAGGGCAGUAUUUGUUCAGAAGAUGACUGUACAAAGGAUAAUAAACUAGUUGAGAAGCAGAACCCAGCUGAAGGACUGCAAACUUUGGGGGCUCAAAUGCAAGGUGGUUUUGGAUGUGGCAACCAGUUGCCAAAAACAGAUGGAGGAAGUGAAACCAAGAAACAGCGAAGCAAACGGACUCAGAGGACGGGUGAGAAAGCAGCACCUCGCUCAAAGAAAAGGAAAAAGGACGAAGAGGAGAAACAAGCUAUGUACUCUAGCACUGACACGUUUACCCACUUGAAACAGGUGAGGCAGCUCUCUCUGCUCCCUCUAAUGGAACCAAUCAUUGGAGUGAACUUUGCGCACUUUCUUCCUUAUGGCAGUGGCCAAUUUAAUAGUGGGAAUCGACUUCUAGGAACUUUUGGCAGUGCUACCCUGGAAGGGGUUUCGGACUACUAUUCUCAGUUGAUCUACAAGCAGAAUAAUUUAAGUAAUCCUCCAACACCCCCUGCCUCUCUUCCUCCUACACCACCUCCUAUGGCUUGUCAGAAGAUGGCCAAUGGUUUUGCAACAACUGAAGAACUUGCUGGAAAAGCCGGAGUGUUAGUGAGCCAUGAAGUUACCAAAACUCUAGGACCUAAACCAUUUCAGCUGCCCUUCAGACCCCAGGACGACUUGUUGGCCCGAGCUCUUGUUCAGGGCCCCAAGACAGUUGAUGUGCCAGCCUCCCUCCCAACACCACCUCAUAACAAUCAGGAAGAAUUAAGGAUACAGGAUCACUGUGGUGAUCGAGAUACUCCUGACAGUUUUGUUCCCUCAUCCUCUCCUGAGAGUGUGGUUGGGGUAGAAGUGAGCAGGUAUCCAGAUCUGUCAUUGGUCAAGGAGGAGCCUCCAGAACCGGUGCCGUCCCCCAUCAUUCCAAUUCUUCCUAGCACUGCUGGGAAAAGUUCAGAAUCAAGAAGGAAUGACAUCAAAACUGAGCCAGGCACUUUAUAUUUUGCGUCACCUUUUGGUCCUUCCCCAAAUGGUCCCAGAUCAGGUCUUAUAUCUGUAGCAAUUACUCUGCAUCCUACAGCUGCUGAGAACAUUAGCAGUGUUGUGGCUGCAUUUUCCGACCUUCUUCACGUCCGAAUCCCUAACAGCUAUGAGGUUAGCAAUGCUCCAGAUGUCCCAUCCAUGGGUUUGGUCAGUAGCCACAGAAUCAACCCGGGUUUGGAGUAUCGACAGCAUUUACUUCUCCGUGGGCCUCCGCCAGGAUCUGCAAACCCUCCCAGAUUAGUGAGCUCUUACCGGCUGAAGCAGCCUAAUGUACCAUUUCCUCCAACAAGCAAUGGUCUUUCUGGAUAUAAGGAUUCUAGUCAUGGUAUUGCAGAAAGCGCAGCACUCAGACCACAGUGGUGUUGUCAUUGUAAAGUGGUUAUUCUUGGAAGUGGUGUGCGGAAAUCUUUCAAAGAUCUGACCCUUUUGAACAAGGAUUCCCGAGAAAGCACCAAGAGGGUAGAGAAGGACAUUGUCUUCUGUAGUAAUAACUGCUUUAUUCUUUAUUCAUCAACUGCACAAGUGAAAAACUCAGAAAACAAGGGAUCCAUUCCUUCAUUGCCACAAUCACCUAUGAGAGAAACGCCUUCCAAAGCAUUUCAUCAGUACAGCAACAACAUCUCCACUUUGGAUGUGCACUGUCUCCCCCAGCUCCCAGAGAAAGCUUCUCCCCCUGCGUCACCGCCCAUCGCCUUCCCUCCUGCUUUUGAAGCAGCCCAAGUCGAGGCCAAGCCAGAUGAGCUGAAGGUGACAGUCAAGCUGAAGCCUCGGCUAAGAGCUGUCCAUGGUGGGUUUGAAGAUUGCAGGCCACUCAAUAAAAAAUGGAGAGGAAUGAAAUGGAAGAAGUGGAGCAUUCAUAUUGUAAUCCCUAAGGGGACAUUUAAACCACCUUGUGAGGAUGAAAUAGAUGAAUUUCUAAAGAAAUUGGGCACUUCCCUUAAACCUGAUCCUGUGCCCAAAGACUAUCGGAAAUGUUGCUUUUGUCAUGAAGAAGGUGAUGGAUUGACAGAUGGACCAGCAAGGCUACUCAACCUUGACUUGGAUCUGUGGGUCCACUUGAACUGCGCUCUGUGGUCCACGGAGGUCUAUGAGACUCAGGCUGGUGCCUUAAUAAAUGUGGAGCUAGCUCUGAGGAGAGGCCUACAAAUGAAAUGUGUCUUCUGUCACAAGACAGGUGCCACUAGUGGAUGCCACAGAUUUCGAUGCACCAACAUUUAUCACUUUACUUGCGCCAUUAAAGCACAAUGCAUGUUUUUUAAGGACAAAACUAUGCUUUGCCCCAUGCACAAACCAAAGGGAAUUCAUGAGCAAGAAUUAAGUUACUUUGCAGUCUUCAGGAGGGUCUAUGUUCAGCGCGAUGAGGUGCGACAGAUUGCUAGCAUCGUGCAACGAGGAGAACGGGACCAUACCUUUCGCGUGGGUAGCCUCAUCUUCCACACAAUUGGUCAGCUGCUUCCACAGCAGAUGCAAGCAUUCCAUUCUCCUAAAGCACUCUUCCCUGUGGGCUAUGAAGCCAGCCGGCUGUACUGGAGCACGCGCUAUGCCAAUAGGCGCUGCCGCUACCUGUGCUCCAUUGAGGAGAAGGAUGGGCGCCCAGUGUUUGUCAUCAGGAUUGUGGAACAAGGCCAUGAAGACCUGGUUCUAAGUGACAUCUCACCUAAAGGUGUCUGGGAUAAGAUUUUGGAGCCUGUGGCAUGUGUGAGAAAAAAGUCUGAAAUGCUCCAGCUUUUCCCAGCGUAUUUAAAAGGAGAGGAUCUGUUUGGCCUGACCGUCUCUGCAGUGGCACGCAUAGCGGAAUCACUACCUGGGGUUGAGGCAUGUGAAAGUUAUACCUUCCGAUACGGCCGAAAUCCUCUCAUGGAACUUCCUCUUGCCGUUAACCCCACAGGUUGUGCCCGUUCUGAACCUAAAAUGAGUGCCCAUGUCAAGAGGCCUCACACCUUAAACAGCACCAGCACCUCAAAGUCAUUUCAGAGCACAGUCACUGGAGAACUGAACGCACCUUAUAGUAAACAGUUCGUUCACUCCAAGUCAUCGCAGUACCGGAAGAUGAAAACUGAAUGGAAAUCCAAUGUGUAUCUGGCACGGUCUCGGAUUCAGGGGCUGGGCCUGUAUGCUGCUAGAGACAUUGAGAAGCACACCAUGGUCAUCGAGUACAUCGGGACUAUCAUUCGAAACGAAGUAGCAAACAGGAAAGAGAAGCUUUAUGAGUCUCAGAACCGUGGUGUGUACAUGUUCCGCAUGGAUAACGACCACGUGAUUGACGCGACACUCACAGGAGGGCCUGCAAGGUAUAUCAACCAUUCGUGUGCACCUAAUUGUGUGGCUGAAGUGGUGACUUUUGAGAGAGGACACAAAAUUAUCAUCAGCUCCAAUCGGAGAAUCCAGAAAGGAGAAGAGCUCUGCUAUGACUAUAAGUUUGACUUUGAAGAUGACCAGCACAAGAUUCCCUGUCACUGUGGAGCUGUGAACUGCCGGAAGUGGAUGAACUGAAAUGCAUUCCUUGCUAGCUCAGCGGGCGGCUUGUCCCUAGGAAGAGGCGAUUCAACACACCAUUGGAAUUUUGCAGACAGAAAGAGAUGUUUGUUUUCUGUUUUAUGACUUUUUGAAAAAGCUUCUGGGAGUUCUGAUUUCCUCAGUCCUUUAGGUUAAAGCAGCGCCAGGAGGAAGCUGACAGAAGCAGCGUUCCUGAAGUGGCCGAGGUUAAACGGAAUCACAGAAUGGUCCAGCACUUUUGGUUU